GAGCAGCCCCCCCGCGGGCGCGACAGCCGAGCGGCGCUGCCCCCCCGCACUCCGAGACCGCGGGCCCAGGGGCGCUGGCCGCGAAUUCGGCACCGCGGGGCACACGCCCCAAGGCCUGCCUUACCCGGACGGGAGGACAAGCGGGGACGCCCAGCACUCAAGGCUGACGCUCAGAGGCACUCGGAGCUCCCCGAUCCUCAGCUCCCAGCGAGGCCAACCGUGGGUCCCAAUUCCGGGCUGCAGGGCCGCGCUCCUCCACGCCGGCCUCCCUUGCACGUGGGAAACGCAGAGAGCCUGGGAAUUCCACUGACGCUGGCAUCUGUGAGCCGCACAAUGAAACCCCGUGUCUGAU